AGUGGCGGACGGGUGAGUAAUGUCUGGGAAACUGCCUGAUGGAGGGGGAUAACUACUGGAAACGGUAGCUAAUACCGCAUAACGUCGCAAGACCAAAGAGGGGGACCUUCGGGCCUCUUGCCAUCGGAUGUGCCCAGAUGGGAUUAGCUAGUAGGUGGGGUAACGGCUCACCUAGGCGACGAUCCCUAGCUGGUCUGAGAGGAUGACCAGCCACACUGGAACUGAGACACGGUCCAGACUCCUACGGGAGGCAGCAGUGGGGAAUAUUGCACAAUGGGCGCAAGCCUGAUGCAGCCAUGCCGCGUGUAUGAAGAAGGCCUUCGGGUUGUAAAGUACUUUCAGCGGGGAGGAAGGGAGUAAAGUUAAUACCUUUGCUCAUUGACGUUACCCGCAGAAGAAGCACCGGCUAACUCCGUGCCAGCAGCCGCGGUAAUACGGAGGGUGCAAGCGUA
rnacentral:rRNA from 1 species